GACGAACGCUGGCGGCGUGCUUAACACAUGCAAGUCGAACGGAAAGGCCCUGCUUUUGUGGGUUGCUCGAGUGGCGAACGGGUGAGUAACACGUGAGUAACCUGCCCUUGACUUUGGGAUAACUUCAGGAAACUGGGGCUAAUACCGGAUAGGAGCUCCUGCUGCAUGGUGGGGGUUGGAAAGUUUCGGCGGUUGGGGAUGGACUCGCGGCUUAUCAGCUUGUUGGUGGGGUAGUGGCUUACCAAGGGUUUGACGGGUAGCCGGCCUGAGAGGGUGACCGGGCUCAUUGGGACUGCGAUACGGCCCAGACUCCUACGGGAGGCAGCAGUGGGGAAUAUUGCACAAUGGGCGGAAGCCUGAUGCAGCAACGCCGCGUGCGUGAUGACGGCUUUCGGGUUGUAAACCGCUUUCGCCUGUGACGAAGCGUGAGUGACGGUAAUGGGUAAAGAAGCACCGGCUAACUACGUG
rnacentral:rRNA from 1 species